UUUUAUGUGGCUUAUAUUAAUUAAUUUUUUUUAAUUUAGAAACAAUCGACUACUUGGAUUAGGUGAUUAAAUUCUGACUAUUUAAAGACCUACAACUUACUCAAACAGCAUCAGAAAUCAACUAACUAACGAAUAACUCUGACUUUUCCAAAAUGCCGAGCCAAGAAACCCAUCUUAAGGUGACAAACUUAACCAAAACCGACAUUAUUGCAACAGUGGUAUCAGGAACCAACCCAUCUGACUGGGAGAACAAACUGGGUCCUGCAGGAAACUUCCAAGGAGUCGUUAUUCCUGCUGGAAAAUCCGAAGAAAGAAGAGAAGAAGUAAACCGUUUUGCCUCCAACUGUCGCUUCACCAUGAAACUAAUGUUUGCUGACCAGACCCAGGACGAGUACACCAUUAAUCAAAAAUUUGCCAUUGGAAAAGCUCAACCUGGCUUCAGCCAUUCAGGAGAUCAUAUUGUAAAUUAUAAUCAGGGUGAUAAAUACAUUAUUAUCACUAUUUACGACCAAGCCAAAUUCCAAGAAGAAGAUUAAGUUGUAGUAAGAUGUGAGCAACUAAAUAAACGUUGAUUUGGACAUGAUAAAA